rnacentral:tRNA from 1 species
GCGGAGGUCGCCAAGAGGACAAAGGCGCAGCGUUGAGGUCGCUGUCCCGAAGGGGUUCGGGGGUUCAAAUCCCCUCCUCCGCA